rnacentral:rRNA from 1 species
AGCAGUCGCCGCGGGAAAACGUAGGUGGCAAGCGUUGUCCGGAUUUAUUGGGCGUAAAGCGAGCGCAGGCGGUUUCUUAAGUCUGAUGUGAAAGCCCCCGGCUCAACCGGGGAGGGUCAUUGGAAACUGGGAGACUUGAGUGCAGAAGAGGAGAGUGGAAUUCCAUGUGUAGCGGUGAAAUGCGUAGAUAUAUGGAGGAACACCAGUGGCGAAGGCGGCUCUCUGGUCUGUAACUGACGCUGAGGCUCGAAAGCGUGGGGAGCGAACAGGAUUAGAGACCCCAGUAGUCCCUGUCUCUUAUAC